rnacentral:rRNA from 1 species
AGUACGAGAGGACCGGGAUGGACGAACCUCUAGUGUUCCAGUUAUCACGCCAGUGGUAAUGGCUGGGUAGCUAUGUUCGGAAGGGAUAACCGCUGAAAGCAUCUAAGUGGGAAGCCCCCCCUAAGAUUAGAUUUCCCCUGUGGCAACACAGCUAAAGAUCCCUCAUAGACUAUGAGGUUGAUAGGUCGGGUGUGUAAGCGCAGCAAUGUGUUUAGCUUACCGAUACUAAUAGAUCGUGAGGCUUAAUCAU